rnacentral:rRNA from 2 species
GGGAUUAGCUAGUAGGUGGGGUAACGGCUCACCUAGGCGACGAUCCCUAGCUGGUCUGAGAGGAUGACCAGCCACACUGGAACUGAGACACGGUCCAGACUCCUACGGGAGGCAGCAGUGGGGAAUAUUGCACAAUGGGCGCAAGCCUGAUGCAGCCAUGCCGCGUGUAUGAAGAAGGCCUUCGGGUUGUAAAGUACUUUCAGCGGGGAGGAAGGCGAUGCGGUUAAUAACCGUGUCGAUUGACGUUACCCGCAGAAGAAGCACCGGCUAACUCCGUGCCAGCAGCCGCGGUAAUACGGAGGGUGCAAGCGUUAAUCGGAAUUACUGGGCGUAAAGCGCACGCAGGCGGUCUGUCAAGUCAGAUGUGAAAUCCCCGGGCUUAACCUGGGAACUGCAUUUGAAACUGGCAGGCUA